rnacentral:rRNA from 1 species
GAAUGCUGACAUAAGUAACGAUAAAGCGGGUGAAAAGCCCGCUCGCCGGAAGACCAAGGGUUCCUGUCCAACGUUAAUCGGGGCAGGGUGAGUCGACCCCUAAGGCGAGGCCGAAAGGCGUAGUCGAUGGGAAACGGGUUAAUAUUCCCGUACUUGGUGUUACUGCGAAGGGGGGACGGAGAAGGCUAUGUUGGCCGGGCGACGGUUGUCCCGGUUUAAGCGUGUAGGUGUGUGUUCCAGGUAAAUCCGGUUCACUUUAACACUGAGGCGUGACGACGAGGCACUACGGUGCUGAAGCAACAAAUGCCCUGCUUCCAGGAAAAGCCUCUAAGCAUCAGGUAACAUCAAAUCGUACCCCAAACCGACACAGGUGGUCAGGUAGAGAAUACCAAGGCGCUUGAGAGAACUCGGGUGAAGGAACUAGGCAAAAUGGUGCCGUAACUUCGGGAGAAGGCACGCUGACACGUAGGUGAAGUGAUUUACUCAUGGAGCUGAAGUCAGUCGAAGAUACCAGCUGGCUGCAACUGUUUAUUAAAAACACAGCACUGUGCAAACACGAAAGUGGACGUAUACGGUGUGACGCCUGCCCGGUGCCGGAAGGUUAAUUGAUGGGGUCAGCGCAAGCGAAGCUCCUGAUCGAAGCCCCGGUAAACGGCGGCCGUAACUAUAACGGUCCUAAGGUAGCGAAAUUCCUUGUCGGGUAAGUUCCGACCUGCACGAAUGGCGUAAUGAUGGCCAGGCUGUCUCCACCCGAGACUCAGUGAAAUUGAACUCGCUGUGAAGAUGCAGUGUACCCGCGGCAAGACGGAAAGACCCCGUGAACCUUUACUAUAGCUUGACACUGAACAUUGAGCCUUGAUGUGUAGGAUAGGUGGGAGGCUUUGAAGCGUGGACGCCAGUCUGCGUGGAGCCGACCUUGAAAUACCACCCUUUAAUGUUUGAUGUUCUAACGUGGACCCGUGAUCCGGGUUGCGGACAGUGUCUGGUGGGUAGUUUGACUGGGGCGGUCUCCUCCUAAAGAGUAACGGAGGAGCACGAAGGUUGGCUAAUCCUGGUCGGACAUCAGGAGGUUAGUGCAAUGGCAUAAGCCAGCUUGACUGCGAGCGUGACGGCGCGAGCAGGUGCGAAAGCAGGUCAUAGUGAUCCGGUGGUUCUGAAUGGAAGGGCCAUCGCUCAACGGAUAAAAGGUACUCCGGGGAUAACAGGCUGAUACCGCCCAAGAGUUCAUAUCGACGGCGGUGUUUGGCACCUCGAUGUCGGCUCAUCACAUCCUGGGGCUGAAGUAGGUCCCAAGGGUAUGGCUGUUCGCCAUUUAAAGUGGUACGCGAGCUGGGUUUAGAACGUCGUGAGACAGUUCGGUCCCUAUCUGCCGUGGGCGCUGGAGAACUGAGGGGGGCUGCUCCUAGUACGAGAGGACCGGAGUGGACGCAUCACUGGUGUUCGGGUUGUCAUGCCAAUGGCACUGCCCGGUAGCUAAAUGCGGAAGAGAUAAGUGCUGAAAGCAUCUAAGCACGAAACUUGCCCCGAGAUGAGUUCUCCCUGAGACUUAAAGUCUCCUGAAGGAACGUUGAAGACGACGACGUUGAUAGGCCGGGUGUGUAAGCGCAGCGAUGCGUUGAGCUAACCGGUACUAAUGAACCGUGAGGCUUAACCUUACAACGCCGAAG